AGAAUGGGGCCCUAUCACUUACGUUUCAGGACCACAUUCCAUUAUGCUUUCUAGCUCAUUCGGGCCGAAAGCCAUCGAUUUCGCAAGUGCGGGCUCAGGCGUCAGCAUUUGGAUGUUUAGAGUUUACAUCUCGGAGCGCCGAUGUUUCUCGCAAUCACGUCUUUGACGUCAUCGCGUCAUCGGAUGCUACGAGAUGUAUGCUCUCGAGAUUCGCCGCGGGUUCAUUCGUAUCUUCGAGGCAGCGAGUAUAGGUAGCACCUAGCCAGUGCACCAAGUGUAUUACCGUUGUAUUGAUAUUCGAGAUAUAGAGUCAGUUCUACCAUUUGACGAGCGUUGGAUUAUUUCAUCCCCCCCAUUACAUAGUGGAGACUCCGGGAAUCGAGCACGUCAUCGAAGAUCCCAGGACUCCUGUUCGCAAUGGAAGUUUUCUUGAUGCCGUCUCGGAAUUCGCAUCUCUGAUGGGAAACGCACUGACAGUCCACGCAUCCUCAAUGAUUCACACCAAAGUAGCGCCCAAAUCGCGGGAACUUUGACUUCGCUGAUCGUCAGGCAGGACACCAGCCGGCUCAUCUCCUGUCGAUGGGAUCAGCGGCCCUUUCCCCAGCGUACCCUGCUUCUGGGGUAGAAACAUCUCUCCCUGGUUCAUCAUCCCCUGGUUACCGUAACCGGAGUAGCUAAGCUUCGGCAUCCAGCGACUGGUUCGCGGGUCGUAUCCCUCAGCGCCCUCGGACGUAUCAACCACUCAACGAGGCGGCUAACUUCUUCCACUGGUCGCCAAGCAGGCCGAUCCCUAGGACAAGCAGAGGCCAUCGAUGGGCUUCGAGACACGUUGGAGGCACUCUUCACACCCGGCUCAUCCUACCUCCACUUUCGGCGGGAUCCGGGCGUGCUUCUCUCAACUGAUCGGGAAAGGCAUCUGGACAUCAUCCGGAUAUCCUGACAAUCGAGGGACAUCCAUUCCUGAGGGCGACACGACGACCUGGCAACCGCGUGUCAUCACGGCGUUACAACGAAGAGACAGCCGAUGGUGCAAAUAUCAACAUUGGGCAUCGCGAAGGACUGAACGAGGCGCUUUUGAGUCAGCAGAAUGUGUUGGACGGGCAUGGCACCUGAGAUUUUUCGGAGCGACAGCAAAUUUCUUUGUAGUAGUUUUAAGAACCGAAAUCGGGUACUCGUACUCAAAUUUUUAUUUACGUUUUUUUUCGAUUCAAAUUUGUUUUUGAGUACCACGAAUGCGCCAGGUUAAACUGCGGUGAACAGGUUUCAUAGCAAUUUUGGGAUUUUGUUACAUGAACAGAACGGCUAUGAAACCUCUCGAACCAAAGUUCUGAUCGGGUGCCGGCAAAUAUAAAAUGUAGCCGCUUUAUUUAUUAUUUUUUUCGUAAAAAGUCAUAUUUUCUAUUACCAUUCGAUUAAUGUUUUUUUUUACGCUAGCCUCCUUUUAUUUAUAAUUUUUUUAAACCUACUUUUAUUUUACUAUUUUUUUUUACGAUGAAACGCUGCACUUGCUACGCAAGGGCCUUUGCUUCGAAAGGGAUGGUUAAAUCAUUUUUUUUUCGUUUUUUUUGCCUAAGGUGGAAGAGUGUAAUAGAAUGGGGCCCUAUCACUUACGUUUCAGGACCACAUUCCAUUAUGCUUUCUAGCUCAUUCGGGCCGAAAGCCAUCGAUUUCGCAAGUGCGGGCUCAGGCGUCAGCAUUUGGAUGUUUAGAGUUUACAUCUCGGAGCGCCGAUGUUUCUCGCAAUCACGUCUUUGACGUCAUCGCGUCAUCGGAUGCUACGAGAUGUAUGCUCUCGAGAUUCGCCGCGGGUUCAUUCGUAUCUUCGAGGCAGCGAGUAUAGGUAGCACCUAGCCAGUGCACCAAGUGUAUUACCGUUGUAUUGAUAUUCGAGAUAUAGAGUCAGUUCUACCAUUUGA